rnacentral:lncRNA from 1 species
GUUACCCAGGCAGAACCAGUGGGAACAGGUUUCUGGAAGGGAGGAACAGCGUGUGCAAACAGUCUGAGCCCAGACAACCACCAUGAGCUAAGGGAAGGGCCGUGUGGCUGAGCGUUCUGGACCUGCUGGAAGAGGAGCUGAGAGGCAGGCUUGUCACCUCAUGGACCCAAGAUAGCUGCCAUGGUUCCAGGCAACACAUGUAAUCUCAACAACAUUCAGCCAAAGAAGAGGCUCCUGAACUCGUCCUGUUCUAGCCUGACCAAUCUUCUAAAUCUGCGUCCCUGCCUUCACAACUGUUCCAUUACUAUUGCUGUUGUGAAUAACCAACAUUCAUGGGACAGCUACUGUGCCUGGGACACUGGACUAGGCACUUUAUAUGAAGUCACAUGAUCUGUGCCAGUUCAUAGCUUCUUACCAUUUUGCAGGUGGGGAAAUGAACAUCAACUAACUUCAGUAAAUUGCCCAAGGUCACCAACAUAGCAGAGCUGGGAUUGGAACAUGGAUCUGAUUCUAGAGCUCAGGCUCUUAAAACCAGGAAGCUGUGCUGCUCAAAUUUCUUUCAAGACUGACAAGAUGCCUUUCUCUCACUGGUUUCCAGCAUGCCACCUGCCACCAUCACCCCAAGACAUGCAAUUCAUGCCUCCCAGGGCAGCCACGCCUGAGGCACCAACUGCAGCUCCAGCUCUACUCUUGCAGAACUUCAGGAUACUGAGUACCUUCUGCUCUGCCAGCCCCGUACUCCCUACCCUUCCUACAGCAUCCAUCCUCAAGCCCUUGUGCUUCACUGCAGCUGUGUCUGGUCUUGGACUUGGACAGCCUUAGCUAGGUCAUCCUACCACUGACCAAAGUCUAGCUCAGACACUAACCUUUAUGCUGCAUCCAUCAUCUCAUUCGUCUCCUCCGGCCCUCCUCGCCCCACUGUCCUCAUCUCUUUGAGCUGCUAUAAUACAUUACCAUAGACUGGGCAACUUAUAAGCAACAGAAAUCUAUUCUAGCUUUAUCUCAGGCUGAAAAUCUGAGAUCAAGGUGCUGGCAUGGUUAGGGUCUGGUGAGGGCCCUCCUGCAGGUUGCAAACAGCCCAUUUCUUGCUGUGUCCUUGAGCGGCAGAAGGAGCUACCUAGCUCUACAGUCUCAAAUGCACAAAUCCGGCCGGGCGCGGUGGCUCACUCCUGUAAUCCCAGCACUUUGGGAGGCCGAGGCAGGCGGAUCACGAGGUCAGGAGAUCGAGACCAUCCUGGCUAACAUGGUGAAACCUCGUCUUUAUUAAAAAAAUACAAAAAAUUAGCCAGGCGUGGUGGUAGGUGCCUGUAGUCCCAGCUACUUGGGAGGCUGAGGCAGGAGAAUGGCGUGAACCCAGGAGGUGGAGCUUGCAGUGAGCCGAGAUCGCGCCACUGCACUCCAGCCUGGACGACAGAGCAAGACUCUAUCUCAAAAAAAAAAAAAGCACAAAUCCCAUUCAUGAGGGCUCCACCCUUAUGAUGUAAUCUCCCAAAGGGCCCAUCUCCUAUCACCCUGGGCUUCAACACUGGAAUUUUGAGGGGACACAUACAUUCAGACCAUCGCGCACCCACUAACCCUUAAAGGUGGACAAUUUCCAGUGUAUAUCUAUGCUCAGCCAACUUCUCUUCUGUGUACAGUCUCUAUCAAACAUUGCAUCAGUUCCCAUGAUUUCAACUGUUAUUUCCCGUAGAUGCCUUCUGCACUGGUACCCUCACCCCCGACCUCACUGCUAAAUCUCAGUUUUGCAUUUCCACCUCCCAGUGUCAUCUUUCUAGAGACUUGAGAUCAGUAUCUCCAAAAUAAAGCUCAUGUCUUCUGUCCCACUCCUGCUCCAGUCCACGCCUUCUGUCUUCUUCAUUUCAGACAACGGCACCUACCUUCUGUCUGCUGUGGUUCAUUUAUUCAUCAAAUUGUCAAUGGAGUACUGCAUUCCAUGAGCCCAAAGAAUCGCCCCACCUUGUUCCCUCUCCCUUCCUCAUGGCUGGUCUGUUGCAAGUCCUGAUGAAUCUAGCCAUUGUUUUCAGAAUAUGCCUUCUAGUCUUUGGCAAUUCUGGUCUUUUAAAAGGAAUGUUGUCCACUUGUGCAAACAGAAUAAUUUAGGCUCCCUCCUUCAAAAAAAGAAAAUCUGAAAUCAGAAAUAUGAGUCUCCAUUAAAGAAUUAACUUUAAAUUAAAGGGAAAUUAUGAAAUCACUUAAACUGAAAAGGCACUAUGUAUCUGGAUGCUGUGCUGUACAGUUUCUUUAUCUUACUUUUAAGGCUACUGAAUAUAUAACCUAAUGCAUUAAAGAGCUUUGUUUGGCCAAGUAGGCAGGUAGAAACAUAGGACUUUAAAUCAGAUUAAAUGCUUUGUUCACUAUCAACA